AAUGAACGCUGGCGGCAUGCCUAACACAUGCAAGUCGAACGAAGGCUUCGGCCUUAGUGGCGCACGGGUGCGUAACGCGUGGGAAUCUGCCCUUGGGUUCGGAAUAACAGUUAGAAAUGACUGCUAAUACCGGAUGAUGUCGUAAGACCAAAGAUUUAUCGCCCAAGGAUGAGCCCGCGUAGGAUUAGCUAGUUGGUGGGGUAAAGGCCUACCAAGGCGACGAUCCUUAGCUGGUCUGAGAGGAUGAUCAGCCACACUGGGACUGAGACACGGCCCAGACUCCUACGGGAGGCAGCAGUGGGGAAUAUUGGACAGUGGGCGAAAGCCUGAUCCAGCAAUGCCGCGUGAGUGAUGAAGGCCUUAGGGUUGUAAAGCUCUUUUACCCGGGAUGAUAAUGACAGUACCGGGAGAAUAAGCUCCGGCUAACUUCGUG
rnacentral:rRNA from 1 species